rnacentral:rRNA from 1 species
CUGGCGGCAUGGAUUAGGCAUGCAAGUCGAACGAAGCAGCAAUGCUUAGUGGCGCAAGGGUGAGGAACACGUGAGUGACCUACCCGCAAGUUUGAAACAGCUCCUGGAAACGGGAAUUAAUACCGGAUGUGAUCAUGAGUCUGCAUGGAUUCAUGAUUAAAGCAGUAAUGCGCUUGCGGAUGGGCUCGCGUCCCAUUAGCUAGUUGGUGAGGUAACGGCCCACCAAGGCCAUGAUGGGUAGCUGGUCUGAGAGGACGACCAGCCACACUGGGACUGAGAACUGCCCAGACUCCUACGGGAGGCUGCAGUCGAGAAUUUUGGGCAAUGGACGAAAGUCUGAACCCCCAGCAAUGCCGCGUGCGGGAUGAAGGUCUUCGGAUUGUAAACCGCUGUUUGGAGGGACGAAAAUUGACGGUACUUCCAGAGGAAGCCACGGCUAACUACGUGCCAGCAGCCGC